AAGACUAUACUUUCAGGGAUCAUUUCUAUAGGUUGUACCUGGUGAAAUGUGCUCGAAAGUGUCUGAACUCACAAACCACGAGGAAGAGCGUCAGUGUUCUCUCCUGAGCGUGAAGUGAGCUCACAGUGCUGCUUCAUUGUGGCUGCUGUUUGCUAUUGAUGAACGUUUCUGCUCCCCCUUUAUUAUUGGGGAGAUGGAGGGAGAGAACACAGGCUGAGUGGU